rnacentral:rRNA from 1 species
GUGGCGCACGGGUGCGUAACGCGUGAGCAACCUACCUCUAUCAGGGGGAUAGCCUCUCGAAAGAGAGAUUAACACCGCAUAAUAUAAUUUCCCGGCAUCGAGGAAUUAUUAAAUAUUUAUAGGAUAGAGAUGGGCUCGCGUGACAUUAGCUAGUUGGUAGGGUAACGGCUUACCAAGGCGACGAUGUCUAGGGGCUCUGAGAGGAGAAUCCCCCACACUGGUACUGAGACACGGACCAGACUCCUACGGGAGGCAGCAGUAAGGAAUAUUGGUCAAUGGGCGGAAGCCUGAACCAGCCAUGCCGCGUGCAGGAAGACUGCCCUAUGGGUUGUAAACUGCUUUUGUCCAGGAAUAAACCUCUUUACGAGUAGAGAGCUGAAUGUACUGGAAGAAUAAGGAUCGGCUAACUCCGUGCCAGCAGCCGCGGUAAUACGGAGGAUCCGAGCGUUAUCCGGAUUUAUUGGGUUUAAAGGGUGCGUAGGCGGCCUAUUAAGUCAGGGGUGAAAUACGGUGGCUCAACCAUCGCAGUGCCUUUGAUACUGAUGGGCUUGAAUCCAUUUGAAGUGGGCGGAAUAAGACAAGUAGCGGUGAAAUGCAUAGAUAUGUCUUAGAACUCCGAUUGCGAAGGCAGCUCACUAAGC